rnacentral:lncRNA from 1 species
GAAAAGCUCAGGACAGUAUUCAAUAACUAUUUGCUGAAUGAGUGAACAGUAGUAUUUUCGUAGCACAUUUAGCUAUAUUCUAAUAUUGUUGUUAUUCAAAUAUUCUGUAUUCCUAUUUGUAUGUUAAAGUAAUAUUUUCAUAAUCUACAAACAAGUAGGCUGCUUCUAAAAUUCAUCUAUAAAACAUAUAUGAAGAGUGAAAUCCCUCACAGUGAGUUUGUUUAUACAUAAGUAAUACAGUUUAUUAUUGAUUUUGAAUCAUGAAGUGGAGAGUUUAUUCAAUGUAACAAAGAAAUAUUGGACAAAUCUAAUCCCUGAGUCUGUGAGUUUUUAGAGAGCUUUUAUUGAUUUUCUUUACAGUACAUCUGUUUUUCGGGAUUAAUUAGUACUUCUCCUAGAAGACAGAUCAUAUAUCCAAAAUAAUCUAUUUUCUUUUCCUUCAAGAAAUUAAUAUCUAACAAAAAAAUGACUGAAGCCUGCUGAGAUUACUACACCAAUGUGCAUUCAUCACUUUAAUAUACCACAGAUGUAUUUUCCAUGUCUAGUGAAGCAAAAUGUUGCCUAGAUUAAAAGAUAUGGAAACUGGGGAUUCCCAGGCAAGAUGGCCAGAUAGGACAGCUCCAGUCUGCAGCUCCCAGCGAGACCAACGCAGAAGAAAGAUUCGGAAGUUUUAUAGAAAUGGGAUGUGGUCCUGCACUGGAAACCUACUCAUCCAGCGGUGUGGAGCAUCCCAGCAUAGAUGUUCCUGACACUGUAAAGAACAAAACUGCCCAUGAAGUUCCCAAGCUUAGAGGGCAGGUGAGU